AUCUCCGGUUCCCCUUCAUACGCAAAAAUCUUUCGCCUUUUACUAAAGAUUUCCGUGGAGGGGAGCAUGCAAAGGAGUCUAGAACCCUAAUUUUUCAAUAAGGCCUGAUUUCGAUCGGGCCA
rnacentral:snRNA from 1 species